UAAGGAAUAUUGGUCAAUGGGCGCAAGCCUGAUCCAGCCAUGCCGCGUGCAGGAUGAAGGCCUUCGGGUUGUAAACUGCUUUUGUACGGAACGAAAAGACUCCUUCUAAUAAAGGGGGUCCAUGACGGUACCGUAAGAAUAAGCACCGGCUAACUACGUGCCAGCAGCCGCGGUAAUACGUAGGGUGCAAGCGUUAAUCGGAAUUACUGGGCGUAAAGCGUGCGCAGGCGGUUAUGCAAGACAGAGGUGAAAUCCCCGGGCUCAACCUGGGAACUGCCUUUGUGACUGCAUAGCUAGAGUACGGUAGAGGGGGAUGGAAUUCCGCGUGUAGCAGUGAAAUGCGUAGAUAUGCGGAGGAACACCGAUGGCGAAGGCAAUCCCCUGGACCUGUACUGACGCUCAUGCACGAAAGCGUGGGGAGCAAACA
rnacentral:rRNA from 1 species